UAGACAAGGACCGCAAUAGUGUCAAACAAGGACAGAUUUAUACUAUGUAAUACAAAGAAGUGACUGCAUAGGAUAUUGGUACAUGAGCAUUCCAAUAGUAAUUUGUAGUAUUUCAAUUAUUGAUAAGAAUGUUAAGUUUUAACAUUGCUUUCAGAUUAACAUAAAAAAAUAAAUAAAAUUCUAACUAGUAGAAUUGAUAUUAGUUUAAUAACCUAUAGAUAACCUAUAAAGUUCAAUUUGUACUGAAGAUUUGAAAAUAGAUAUGGCGAAUGAAUGACGCAACAGUUAAAAUUUCAAAGAAAAAAAUAAAAAAAGAAAUUUCCUUCGAGCCGGAUUUGAACCAGCGACCUAUGGAUGUCCACGAUUUUAAAUAAGCCAACUACAGUCCACCGCUCUACCAACUGAGCUAUCGAAGGAAUAUGAUAAAUAUAAUAUGAUAAAUAACAAGAGCUAGGUGUUUAACUAUUGAAAUGCAAAAUUUUCAAUGGGAGAAGACUAUAAGGACUACAAUAUAUUAGUAAUAUAGUAGAUUACGCUUUGGAAGUAAAUAUUCAUUAUAGCUGCAGUGGAAUUCGUUCUAAAGAUUCGUUCGAUGUAUUUACAAUUCAACAAUGCAAAAACACUUGAACAUAUAUACGUAUGAAUACUGACAAAUAUCGAUCAUAAUUUGUCUUUUGAAACAAGUGUUCUUCUCAUACAGUGCGAUUGUAAUAUUGGCCGUUAUUAAGUAACAUUAUAUAUUCGUAAUUUACGAAUCUAAUUGUAAGUUUGAAUUUACAUAAACGUAACUGCGUGUUGAUAACUAUUAUAUGUAGAAGUAACAUAUGGCAUGAAAACCGUGAGAACGUGUGUUAUGCAUUUUCUCUCACAUUAAUGAUUUCUAUCGGUAGAUCGAUAUUCUUUUCGAUUGUGAUCUUUAGUAUCAUUAAUUAACCUUUAAUGAACAUCAUCUAGUUUUGAGGAUUUAUAAUAAUUAUAUAUAGAAAAAUUCAUUCUAAAUUUAUUAUUAAAUUCUAGGUUA